AGAAUGAUAGGGAAAUUGCUAAAUAUUUUUUUUGUAUAAAUAACUUUUAACUUUUGUACAAUACGAAUAUUUAGGCAUUUCUCAAAUCAAA
ensembl:ncRNA mir-972 mir-972 stem loop